CAAAGUGCACUGAACUUAACCACUUGGCCACUGGGGCUGGCCCCCACACACACAUUCUUGAGCCCCUUCUGUUAGCCCAGCAGCAAGCAGGGCUGAGCGGGGACCAGACCCCAGCCUCCACAAGCCAAGCAAGAGGGAAGAGCUGAGGUCUGACCCGCUGCUGCUGCCCCAGCCAUGAGGAGACACGGGGCCAGGCGCUGGCUGGAAAAAAGGGAACAAAUACCUAAGCUCCUGCCACAUCUCAGAAAGCCCCCUGCUGGGCUCAGCACCGUUUGCUGACGGAAUCCCUCAACUGCCCUUCCAAAGAGGGAUUCUUCCCCCAUAUUCCAGACAAAGCAACUUGGAGAGAUCCAGGAACUUGCCCCAGUUGACCUAAGCCGAAGGGUGGAGGGGGAUGAAGAUACAAACCAGGGCAAGGGACAGUCACAGCCUCCAAGAGGCUCAGGCUCUUCCAAGAGACAUCUCUCCGAUGGAACGGCAGGAGAUUCCUGGCAGUCCCGUAACCUGGUCUGCGUCUGCACAGAGCGGUUGUGCAAGGAGUCAGCUGUACGUGGGUCUGAGAGGACCCUCCGCCUGCCAGGGCUGCUGGCGUGGGCCCAGGCUCCACACAAGAAGAGUGAGUGAUCCCAUUGUAAAGAAUGAAGGCUCCAGACAGCAAAGGCCGUGCGCAUCUCUGCGGCUGCAUCCUCAGACCCUAGGCUGCCUGACUCAUCAAGGGAGGGCUCGACUCUGUUGAAUGGGCCGUCCGGAUGGACCUCCAGUUCUGAUUAAUACUCUAUUGCUAUGAAACAUAAAGUGAUGAUGCCCGAGUGUAGCAGCCUUUUCCGGUUGAUGAAACAUUGCAUGAGUCACAUUUUCUACAUACAAUGGCUUGGGCUGGGUUAUCCCCACUUUUACAUAUGCGGAAACUGAGGCUCAGAGGACCUAUGGGAUUUGCCCCAGGUCACAGCGCCAGUAAGCAGUGGAGCAGGGGCUCAAACAGACCCCAACUUCUAUUCCCUUUCCACAGUCAAUUCCCUCCUUUUCCUCUGACACUCUCAUCCACGCAGAUGCCCACAGCAGGCGCAGGUGUGCACGAGGAUGAAAAACAUCCACCACGAGACCGAGGCCAGCCUGCGACUGUGCGUGAGGAGACGCAUGCGGCACUGCACGAGAGUGGCCUGUGAAGGGGACAAUUGUAUAAGUGUGGGGAGUCGGGGAGACGUCAACAUGGAGCCACCUCUGCCUGGCAAGGCUGUUUUUUAUUCUCUGAAAGCUUUCUUUUCUCCUUAAAAAUUUUCUCAACAUGUCAAUACAUAGUUAUCGGGCAUCUCCCACAUGCCAGCAUUUUGCCAGGCACUGGGAAUUCAACAUAAAUAAGAGAAAGUUUCCACCUCAGAGUGGAAAAGAAUGAAGAAGAGAAACAAAAACCUAUUUCUUCUGCCAUUAAUUCAUUCGCUCAGGUAAGUCAGUCACUCUUUGAGCCCGCUAUAAUACAUUAAAAACCAAGCACUUGAUCUAAUUUAUCAAUA